CUCUAUUAUUAUCCAAGAAACUAGAGACUAUAUAUCAUGUAGCUAAACAAGAUUCUGCAAAAUGACCAAUUGGUGAAGACACACAAUUGAGACAUUUGCGUGGAUAGAUAGUAUGGCUGAUUCGUGCCAUAGAUGUUUGUUACGCC